rnacentral:rRNA from 1 species
CAGUAGCCACGGGAAUACAGAGGCCUCAAGCGUUGUUCGGAUUCAUUGGGCGUAAAGGGUGCGUAGGUGGCUUGGUAAGUUGAAGGUGAAAUCUCGGGGCUUAACCCCGAAACUGCCUUCAAUACUGCUAGGCUCGAGGACUGUAGAGGAGAAUGGAAUUCACGGUGUAGCAGUGAAAUGCGUAGAUAUCGUGGGGAAGACCAGUGGCGAAGGCGAUUCUCUGGGCAGCUCCUGACACUGAGGCACGAAGGCCAGGGGAGCAAACGGGAUUAGAUACCCCCGUAGUCCCGUCUCUUAUACA